UACGAGGGGUGCAAACGUUAUUCGGAAUUACUGGGCGUAAAGGGUGCGUAGGCGGGUUGGCAAGUCGGGUGUGAAAUUCCAUGGCUUAACCAUGGAUCUGCAUUCGAAACUGUUGAUCUUGAGUACUGGAGAGGUGAGUGGAAUUCUCGGUGUAGCGGUGAAAUGCGUAGAUAUCGAGAGGAACACCGUUGGCGAAGGCGGCUCACUGGACAGAUACUGACGCUGAGGCACGAAGGUCGGGGGAGCAAACAGGAUUAGAAACCCCAGUAGU
rnacentral:rRNA from 1 species